rnacentral:rRNA from 1 species
UAAUACUCGAGCCCCAAGUGGUAUCCGCUAUUAGUGGGUCUAAAGCGUCCGUAGCCGGUUUGAUAAGUCCUUAGUGAAAUUCUUUGGCAAACUGAAGAGCUUGCUAGGGAUACUAUCAGACUUGGGACUGGGAGAGGGUAGAGGUACUCCCGGGGGAGGGGUAAAAUCUUAUAAUCCUGGGGGGACCACCUGUGGCGAAGGCUUCUACCUAGAACAGGUUCGACGGUGAGGGACGAAACCUAGGGGAGCGAUCGGGAUUAGAUACCCCGGUAGUCCUAGGCGUAAACGAUGCCCGUUUGGUGUUGCUAACCUUUCGUGGGUUUGCAGUGCCGGAGUGUAGAUGUUAAACGGGCCACCUGGGGAGUACGACCGCAAGGUUG